UGACGUCACGCGGCAAGAUGGCGGCGGGCGGGCUGGCGCGGCAGGUGUGGCUGGUGGCCGUGCUGGGGCCCGCGGUGGCCGCGCCGCGCUACAGCCCGGACUGGGCCAGCCUGGACGCGAGGCCGCUGCCCGCCUGGUUCGACCAGGCCAAGGUGGGGGUGUUCGUGCACUGGGGGGUGUUCUCCGUCCCGGCCUGGGGCUCCGAGUGGUUCUGGUGGCACUGGCAGGGCCAGCACCGCGCCGACUACGAGCGGUUCGUGCAGCGCCGGUACCCGCCCGGCACCACCUACGCGGACUUUGCGCCCCGCUUCACCGCCCACGAUUUCCAGCCCCGCCAGUGGGCCCAGCUCUUCCAGCGGGCUGGUGCCAGGUACGUGGUGCUGACCACAAAGCAUCACGAAGGCUUCACCAACUGGGGGUCACCCGUGUCCUGGAACUGGAAUUCUAUGGAUACGGGACCCCACCGAGAUCUCGUAGGGGAGCUGGGCCAAGCCCUCAGGGAGAGCAACAUACGCUAUGGACUGUAUCACUCUCUGUUGGAGUGGUUUAAUCCACUCUAUCUAGCUGACAAGGCAAGUGGCUUCAAGACCCAGGACUUCGUUGUAAAGAAGACAAUGCCAGAACUCUAUGAUCUGGUCUUAAAAUAUAAACCAGAUUUGAUUUGGUCGGAUGGAGACUGGGAAGCUCCGGAGUCGUACUGGAAUUCUACCUCUUUCCUUGCCUGGCUUUAUAACGAUAGUCCCGUCAAGGACACUGUGGUUGUUAAUGAUCGUUGGUGUAAUAACUGCUCUUGCCAUCAUGGAGGCUUCUACAAUUGUGCAGACAAAUACCAGCCGGGGACGCUGCCUGCUCACAAGUGGGAGAUGUGCUCCUCCAUUGACAAGCUUUCCUGGGGCUAUCGGAGCAACAUGAACGUUGCGGAGUUAAUGGAUGAAACGAGUAUCAUUGAGGAGCUGGUGCAGACUGUGAGUUUUGGAGGCAACUACCUUCUGAAUGUGGGACCUACGAAAGAAGGGGUGAUCGUUCCCAUCUUCCAAGAGAGACUUCUGGGCCUUGGGAGGUGGCUGGACACGAACGGGGAAGCGAUUUAUGAAUCGAAGCCCUGGAGAGUACAGACGGAGAACAGCACAGUGACGGUCUGGUGCAGAUGGUGUUUAGGUAAUAUCCUACAACUGGAGUGCUCAGUUACUGCCCCGGGGGGUUAUCUGAGGAAUAGCUCGAUGGAAAGAAGAGCAUAAAAAUCAGCACUUCAGCCAUCCUGCCUGAUUUGGACAAAACCAGCUCUUCUUUUAAAAAAGUUUCCAUGCUGCCGCUGCCAAGACUCUGUAAGUCACAAUCCUGGCUAGUUUGAGUUGCACAAAUGUAGUUCAUCUAGACACAUGCAGUUUGGAAAUGAAGCAAUAUUUGGUUUUAAGCUGUUAUGUACUAGUACUAAUCACUGUUACCCAACUGUUAGAUUUAUACUGAGACAGGCAUAAUGUGUCAAGAGCCAGAACUUGCUACAAAAGAGUUAUUUCUUUUCCUCAAGUGUGUUCUGUCUAGAAACUCAGAGCAAUGAUCGGGAUAAGGUGGCGCAUCCGCUCCGUUGACCACAGCCUGAGACAAAUGACAUUUGCUUUUAGGAAGCGAUCAUGGACUUUGUUUGGGUUUCAUCAGCCAGUGCUGACUGGCUCAAUGGUACACGGCGAAGGGGCCGGU